AGAAGGCGCAUUGGUCAUCAUCUGAAAGACAGCUUUUGCAAGUAAACAUAGUCACACCGUAUAUUAGAUUAUGGAAUUAUGAACACUGCUGUACAAUGACAGAAAAUUAAAACCUGGCUUUCAGUGCAGGUUUCAUGUGGCUAAUCUGCAUAGCAGCUGAAUGAACCCGAGUGAGAAGGCUGAACGUAAUCGGCAGGAGCUGACUACCUGCGCUGCCACUGUUCUGCGUGGCAGGGGGUGAGGUGAGAGACGGCGCAGGGCUCUUUCCGGAUCUCNAAGAUCUGAAAUGUGGAUGAUGUGCUGGCACAUGCUGCAUGCUCUACAGACACCGAGCAGUGUCUUAUUUCCUUGGUAGUGGCUGGUCCAUUACUUGCCGUAGUACAUCCUGAUAUCCCAUAUAAAUAGGCAGAAUGAAAGAAAACAUAGAACUUGAGGCUGGCUCAGAACCUGGAGGAAUGCUGCAGAAUGGGCAAGGACUGCGCAGUUCCUAUGGGAGUGUGGAGGAAAAUGAAGAGCAUGUGCUGUUCUCAUGAAGUUCACAGGUUUUUUAGAGCAACACAGAGUGCAAGCAAUAAGAAAUGGAGAGUUAAGGUGUGAAAGUAAGUAAGAACAAGAAUCUCUGCAAAAAACAGGAUCAGGGAACUAAGUGUAUGUGCCUGGUCAGCAACACUGAGCUCAAAAGAUACACUUGGACUUUCAGUGUGAUUUUUGUAUUAUGGCAGAGCAGUAUCAAGUAUAGGGCACAGUAGGAAGGAAAAGUGGCAGAGCCCUUUGGCCUGUCUCUCACAGGCUCACAAUAGCAUUAAGGCUGUAAGUUGUAUAGGGC
rnacentral:lncRNA from 1 species